CGGCGCCGUUUCCGCUUCCGGCGAUGUGGGCCGGCCAGUGGGCGGGCUCUCCAUGUAGGCUCCGCCCCGACCCGCGGAGGGUCUGCUGCGCAGACACGUGGGGCAAAGGGGCGUGGCGGCAUUGCGGCUUUGGGGGUGUGGCCAGAGACGUCACCUACUUGACUGGAGUGGGCAGCGCGUCAUGACCGUCCCAACGCCUAAGCAGCUGAUGCUGCGACGCGGUGACACUCAAAGAAGGACAUGGUAAUUUCCAGACUUUUUCUCCAGUGGACUGCUCUUCCUCCAUCUUAUGCUGGUGCCUCUGCCCCUGGGGUUCUAACUUCGAUAUACAUGGGAGCUUAAUCUUUGAAAGUCUUUUUUAAAAAAAUUACUUCUAAAGGUUUGCUGGCUUAUGUGCACUGGGUAAGUGCCUGGUGCCCCAGGAGGGCAAAAGAGGUCCCCAAAAACCCAAGCACUGGAGUCACAAGCAGCUGUAAGCUGCCCUGUGUCCUGGAUAGCAAACUCAGGCUCUUCAAGAGCAAAUGCUUUUAAAACAGAGCUCUCUCUGACCCAAAUGCUUUCAUUUUGACUGUUUCUAAACAUUUGCUUUUCUUCAACUUCACUAUGAGAGCCUAUGCUACUGUCGAAGCAUAGAAAGUCUCCAUUUCUGGAGACAUGGCUCAGUGUGUAAGAGCACAUGUUGCUGCUAUACAUAACCCACAUGGUGGCUCACAACAACCCAGUGACUCUGAUGCAUUCUUCUGACCUCCAGAGGUAGCAGGCACACACAGUACGCAUAUAUACAGGGAGGCAAAAUAUUCAUGUAGUAAAUAAAUCUGAAAACUUUUUUUUUUUUUUCCCCCCGAGACAGGGUUUCUCUGUGUAGCCCUGGCUGUCCUGGGACUCAGAAAUCUACCUGCCUCUGCCUCCCAAGUGCUUGGAUUAAAGACUUGCGCCACCAUGGCCCGGCCAAAAACUUUUUUUUUUUAAAAGAUUUAUUUAUUUAUUAUAUGUAAGUACACUGUAGCUGUCUUCAGACACUCCAGAAGAGGGCAUCAGAUCUUGUUACGGAUGGUUGUGAGCCACCAUGUGGUUGCUGGGAUUUGAACUCUGGACAUUUGGAAGAGCAGUUGGGUGCUCUUACCCACUGAGCCAGCCCCUAAAAACUUUUCAAAAAAUCUCCAUUUCUAAGUCUGUUUCCCAGCCUGAGUAGACAGGCAUGUCCAACCUUUUGACAGUGAGACAUAAAGUCAUUACAAAGUCUGAUAUCAUCAUCUACAGAGUUCACGUGAACUGUUCUCAGACACUGCCUAGAUGACUCCACCCACUUCCUCCUGUGAAUCCUUCAGACCUCAGCUCCAUGCCAGGUCCUGAUCUGCUCUCCCCACUGCAAUCCUUUCCAGAGUCUAACUUGCUUCUGAUGAACUAAGGGAAUGAGUGGACUCCCCAACAGCCUGAGAGGCUCCCCUGCACCUGCAAGGACUGCAACAGAGAAAUGAGAGAAGAUAC